UACAGAGGUCUCAAGCGUUGUUCGGAUUCAUUGGGCGUAAAGGGCGCGUAGGCGGCCUGUUAAGUCGAACGUGAAAUCCCUGGGCUCAACCCAGGAACUGCGUCCGAUACUGGCAGGCUUGAAUUCGGGAGAGGGAUGCGGAAUUUCAGGUGUAGCGGUGAAAUGCGUAGAUAUCUGGAGGAACACCGGUGGCGAAGGCGGCAUCCUGGACCGAUAUUGACGCUGAGGCGCGAAAGCCAGGGGAGCAAACGGG
rnacentral:rRNA from 1 species